rnacentral:tRNA from 1 species
GGUGCCGUAGUGUAGGGGUUAUCAUGCGACGUUGUGGUUAAACACAAGUCCCGUCUCGACCUGGGUUCGACUCCCAGCGGCGCCA